UAGCUCAGUGGUUAAGAGCACUGACUGCUCUUGCAGAGGACCUGGGUUCAAUUCCCAG
rnacentral:tRNA from 1 species